GAUGAACGCUGGCGGCGUGCCUAAUACAUGCAAGUCGAACGCUUUGUCUUUAAUUGUUAUGAAGAGCUUGCUCUGAUUUGAUUUUAUCUGACAAAGAGUGGCGAACGUGUGAGUAACACGUGGGUAACCUACCUCUUAGCAGGGGAUAACAUUUGGAAACAAGUGCUAAUACCGUAUAACACUAACAACCGCAUGGUUGUUAGUUGAAAGAUGGUUCUGCUAUCACUAAGAGAUGGACCCGCGGUGCAUUAGCUAGUUGGUAAGGUAAUGGCUUAGCAAGGGGAUGAGGCGUAUCCGAGUUGAGAGACUGAUAGGCCACAAUGGGACUGGGACACGGCCAAUGCUACUGCGGGAGGCAGCAGUAGGGAAUCUGACACAAUGGGCGGAAGCAUGAUGGAGCAACGCCGCGUGUGUGAUGAAGGGUUUCGGCUCGUAAAACACUGUUAUAAGAGAAGAACGACAUUGAGAGUAAAUGUUCAGUGUGUGACGGUAACUUAUCAGAAAGGAACGGCUAAAUACGUG
rnacentral:rRNA from 1 species